GUCCCGUUCGUCUAGUUCGGUCUAGGACACAGGAUUUUCAUUCCUGCAACAGGGGUUCGAAUCCCCUACGGGACGCCA
rnacentral:tRNA from 1 species